rnacentral:rRNA from 1 species
UACGUAGGGUGCAAGCGUUGUCCGGAAUUAUUGGGCGUAAAGAGCUCGUAGGCGGUCUGUCGCGUCCGUUGUGAAAACUCGAGGCUCAACCUCGGGCUUGCAGUGGAUACGGGCAGACUAGAGUGUGGUAGGGGAGACUGGAAUUCCUGGUGUAGCGGUGAAAUGCGCAGAUAUCAGGAGGAACACCGGCGGCGAAGGCGGCUGCCUGGACCGGCCCUGACGCUGAGGCGCGAAAGCUAGGGGAGCAAACAGG